ACCUCUCUAACUAUAUUUCUUCCAUGAGAAAUAGGUUGCAUCCCUGUCAGCAGUUCCAGAAAAACAACACCAAGGCUGUACACGUCACUUUUGUCUGUCAGCUUAUGAGUAAGGAAAUACUCCGGAUCAAGAUAACCCGGGGUACCCUUUAUAACAGUUGACACAUGACCAGGAGCAAUCCCCUCUGAUUCUGGCUCUGGGGCAAGCCGAGAGAGACCAAAAUCAGCAACUUUUGCGACAAACUUUGAGUCCAGUAAAAUAUUGCUUGCUUUGAUGUCACGGUGAAAUAUUGGAGGGUCUGCUUCUGUGUGUAAAUAGAGGAUGCCUCGCGACGACCCCAGCGCAAUUCGUAACCUCGUGGGAAAAUUUAGGGGCUCUUUUGAUCGAGCUGCUACAUGAGACAAUUGUUAGGGCAACUAGUACCAGGAACAACCUGCUCAUCUUCUUCAUCACAAUAACCAAGCAAUGAAACAAGGUUCCGGUGAUGCAGCCUGGACAGCAAUUCUAUCUCUGUGAAGAACUCCUUCGAACCCUGAAGAGAUCCCUGCUGCGCACGUUUUAUUGCUACUAUUGUUCCAUCAGAGAGAAUACCUCUGUACACUUUCCCAUACCCUCCUUGACCAAUUAGUGCUGAGUCACUAAAGUCGUUUGUACCAUGUGACAGUUCUUGAAAACUGAAGUCUUUUACACCAUCAAUCUUCAU
rnacentral:sRNA from 1 species